GUUUGCCUAGUGAGCCCCAAUGUGAGAACCUGGAUAUUUCUGUUCACACGCUUAUUUCAAAAUUCACAGCGCUUUUCAUUCACAGGAAGGCAGCUGCUUCUAAUCGGCCAUCUUGGCACCUGCCCUCCACAUCACGUUCUAUAAAAGGACGCCUGCUCUCCGGGAGUAAUGCCUAUAUAACUUUGCCUGAAACCAAUAGAACUCUCAUUACACUUAUCAUGGGCUCAUUUACUUCACUUCCAAUGAAUGUGGCCAUGGAAAUGCAAAUGGAUGAAGUGGUCCAUUCUCUUACGGAUGAGGUAGAAACAUGGUGUACCGACCAAUUAAUGACAUAUGUCUGAAAACUAGCAACUGAGAACCUUAGUCACCGUGUUUACAUUUCUAAUCAAGAAGAUGCUCAUCUAUGUACUCAACAAUCCAGGUUUCCUUGCAUCUGAGCUGCUGAAGCACUUCAAAAACAACAUCUCUUGUUUCCUAAAGAAGAUGAUGCCUGGACAAGCAGCACAAGUCAUUCAGGUUUAUUUUCGGUUCAUAAAUUCAGCACGACAUUUACACAAUUGUUAGGAAACCUUAUCAGAUAAUGAGUCCUGCAUGUUUCCUUUCAUUUCAGGAGGAAGAGGGUAAUUCAGUUGAGUUUCCUGAGCUACCCGGCUGCUGUGAUUCAACAACUACCAGGAAAUUUUGAUGAUGGUGCUCUCCUGAGCUCCUCCCUGUCCCAGGGAAGACAAAAUCAUUGAAACUGUGCAAAUAAAGUGUUACUUCGCUGGAAUGAGGUCUCAUGGCUGUUUAUGCGGUGGUUGGCUGCUCAGGACAGGUCAAGAAGAUACUGGUAUGUGUACUAAGGAAAACAGCUUCGUUUACAUGCAACCUGUUGUACAUGAGAAAGCAUUCUUACAUACAUUUCUUCAAAAAGAUUAUGGGACACCAACCAAAACAAGUAAGUGUUGCUUAAUUUCUAUUUAUAAAUCUAGGAUGAUCUCUGCAUUAUAGUAGGGAAAUCUUAAAAAACAACAUCACAUACUAAUGGUAAAAAGAUGAUGCGACAUGAAAAAGUAACAGCAUGAAUACCUCCAAUUGCUAUUUGUGAAUUGAAAAACUAAAUUUUAAAAAAAAUUAGCAGAUUGUGAAUGCAUUACUAAUGAUAAAUUCUGUAUUUUUUUUUUUUUUUUUUUUUCUGAGACAGAGUCUUACUCUGUCACCCAGGCUGGAAUGCACUGGCACAAUCUCAGCUCACUGCAACCUCUACCUCCCAGGUUCAAGCAAUUCUCCUACCUCAGCCUCCUGAGUAGCUGAGACUACAGUCAUACACCAACAGGCCUGGCUAAUUUUUGUAUUUUUAGUAGAAACAGGGUUUCAUCAUAUUGUUCAGGCUGGUCUCAAACUCCUGACAUCUGGUGAUCCACCCAUCUCGGCCUCCCAAAGUGCUGGGAUUACAGGCAUGAGCCACCAUGCCCAGCCAAAUUCUGCAAUUCAUACCCAUCUUUCUGAGACUACAUUAAAGUUUUUCUUCCUGAAUUGACGAUGUUUCUGUGGUCUUACAUAUCACCGCAGAGCAAUUUACAUCUAUGACUAUUACUUUCGUCUCACUAACUCCUCCUCCAGUCAAAAAAAAACAAAAAAUUGUUUUUAAGCUAUGGAAAUGAAGUGUUGCUUAGCUGGAGUGACGUUAUGUUGUGUUUCUGGGGUGACUUCCUGCUCAUGUUGGGGUGAGACUGUAGGCUGUGGGCUGUGUGCUGAGGAGGAAGUCUCUUGAUCUGGAGAGAACCCAUUGUCGGGGAGACCUCCACGGGGCUGAGGGGCCAUGAGCCUGCCCGGGUUUAGAGCACGGGGAGGGUGAAAUUCUGGGGUUGAAUCCUGGGAAUAUUUGAGAACUUCUUGCCUCAGGAGGGGAAGAUCCCUGGAGAAUAAAGACAAACUCUGGGUGUCUUGAGGGGCA
ensembl:lncRNA